AGAGUUUGAUCCUGGCUCAGGACGAACGCUGGCGGCGCGCCUAACACAUGCAAGUCGAACGAGCGAGAGAGAGCUUGCUUUCUCGAGCGAGUGGCGAACGGGUGAGUAACGCGUGAGGAACCUGCCUCAAAGAGGGGGACAACAGUUGGAAACGACUGCUAAUACCGCAUAAGCCCACGGCUCGGCAUCGAGCAGAGGGAAAAGGAGCAAUCCGCUUUGAGAUGGCCUCGCGUCCGAUUAGCUAGUUGGUGAGGUAACGGCCCACCAAGGCGACGAUCGGUAGCCGGACUGAGAGGUUGAACGGCCACAUUGGGACUGAGACACGGCCCAGACUCCUACGGGAGGCAGCAGUGGGGAAUAUUGCACAAUGGGGGAAACCCUGAUGCAGCGACGCCGCGUGGAGGAAGAAGGUUUUCGGAUUGUAAACUCCUGUCGUUAGGGACGAUAAUGACGGUACCUAACAAGAAAGCACCGGCUAACUACGUGCCAGCAGCCGCGGUAAAACGUAGGGUGCAAGCGUUGUCCGGAAUUACUGGGUGUAAAGGGAGCGCAGGCGGGAAGACAAGUUGGAAGUGAAAUCCAUGGGCUCAACCCAUGAACUGCUUUCAAAACUGUUUUUCUUGAGUAGUGCAGAGGUAGGCGGAAUUCCCGGUGUAGCGGUGGAAUGCGUAGAUAUCGGGAGGAACACCAGUGGCGAAGGCGGCCUACUGGGCACCAACUGACGCUGAGGCUCGAAAGUGUGGGGAGCAAACAGGAUUAGAUACCCUGGUAGUCCACACUGUAAACGAUGAUUACUAGGUGUUGGAGGAUUGACCCCUUCAGUGCCGCAGUUAACACAAUAAGUAAUCCACCUGGGGAGUACGACCGCAAGGUUGAAACUCAAAGGAAUUGACGGGGGCCCGCACAAGCAGUGGA
rnacentral:rRNA from 1 species